UGUGAAGCCAAAUCAUAAUCAUUCUGUCGGAUUACCUUCUGCUCUUUAAAGAUCUUAUCCAACCAGCUAGGUCGCAAAACAGAAUUACUUCUGUGUACUUGCCGCCCUGUACUGAACAUUGUCUCAGUGAUGGUUUUUAUACUGGAGUGAAAGUAAACCGGAAAAAAGUGAUUGAAUGAUGACUGGACUAUGGAUCUCCUCUGUUAUCUAACUGGUUGUCAAGAUUUAUCGCAGCUCCAAGGAAAUGAUGGUUGAAGAAAAGGCCAUAGAACCAUCUAGAUCAUAAACGAUUG